GCAAACUUGGUCAUUUAGAGGAAGUAAAAGUCGUAACAAGGUUUCCGUAGGUGAACCUGCGGAAGGAUCAUUAAUGAAUUCUGAAAGGGGUUGUAGCUGGCUGUUUCGUUUGAGCGGCAUGUGCACGCCCUGCUCAUUAUCCAUCUCACACACCUGUGCACAUACUGUAGGUCGGCUUUUGAUUGGAGUGGGGUCUUAAUCGACUCUGCUCUUUAGUUGGGGCCUUCCUAUGUUUUAUCACACACUACUUCAGUUUAAAGAAUGUCCUCUUGCGUCUAACGCAUUUAAAUACAACUUUCAGCAACGGAUCUCUUGGCUCUCGCAUCGAUGAAGAACGCAGC
rnacentral:misc_RNA from 1 species